rnacentral:lncRNA from 1 species
CUGGCCUCAGGUGAUCCUCCCACCUUGACUUCCCAGAGUACUGAAAUUAUAGGUGCAAGCCAGCACACCUGACCCUGGACUCUUACUUAGUACCAGCCAGUGCUCUAAGAGAUUUACUUGGAUUAACUCAUUUAAUCCUCAAAAUAAAACCAUGAGGUAUUGACUCAACUGGCUUUGUAUGCUGGGCACCACUUUGCAAACAGCUUACAGGAUGGACUGCAGUCCUCACAACGAUCUUCAAAGCACGCUCGGAGUUGUGGCCCUACGGGGACCCGGUGAAUUCAGCUGCCUGUAUGAGAGUGAUUCUGCCCCAUGCCAAACCCUUUCGCGAUGAUUGUCUCAUGUGACGCUUACAAUUCUGGGAGCCAGGCAGGACAGAUAGAGUGAUCAUCUCCAUUUUAUGGAUGAGGAAAUUGAUCCCCAAGAGUUGAAGUGACUUGCCCAAGGACAUGGUGAGUAAGGAGUCUGGACUUCCCGCAGGUUUGCUUGACUCUGAACUCCAGGUUCUGUCCAUGGCCCUGAGCUGCCAUUCCCCUGAGCUCCACACCCCACACCCCUCACCCCUCCAGAAGGAGCUAAGGGCAGAUUCUCCUCCCUUAUCCUCCAAGAAGUCAGGGGCUUCUUGCUCUGUUUGAAAUAAAAAGCAACUGCGUCUGCGCACCAGUGGCAGAGACGGACUUUGUAC